rnacentral:snRNA from 1 species
UCACUAACCUGACACAAAACACACUGACAUCAAGAAGGUUGUUUUCACAGGGCAAGCUUAUCCAUUGUACUCUGAAUGUGUUGACUACUGUGAUUUCCCCAAAUGUGGGCCAUUUGAUGGUGUAGUUUGUGGUAUUACGUGAUUACAUUCACUCU